rnacentral:rRNA from 1 species
CCGCCGAAGGUGGGACAGAUAAUUGGGGUGAAGUCGUAACAAGGUAGCCGUAUCGGAAGGUGCGGCUGGAUCACCUCCUUUCUAAGGAA